rnacentral:lncRNA from 1 species
AUCCUUUCAGAUAUUUCUUCUUUUCACUUAUGGUUAUGUUAGAAAUGUAUUAAUAAUAAAAUCCACUACUUUUAAUAAACUCAACAAUUAACCACUUAAAUUAAUUUUAUUUUUGCUAAUUAUUUUGGCUAAACAACAAAAAUAAAAGGACCAAAAUGAAUAAAAAUCGGGCACAAAAAUGCCCAGAAAAUAAAACUAAAUGCACCACAAUGAUCAACACGAAAUAAAAUUCUCGAAAACAUAUAGGGUUUUGUCAAAUUUUGAAAUAAAAAAAAACCGGUUAAAAUGCUCAGGCGAAUCAAAAUGUGAC